rnacentral:rRNA from 2 species
UAGGGAAUCUUCCGCAAUGGGCGAAAGCUUGACGGAGCAACGCCGCGUGAGUGAUGAAGGUCUUCGGAUCGUAAAACUCUGUUAUUAGGGAAGAACAAAUGUGUAAGUAACUAUGCACGUCUUGACGGUACCUAAUCAGAAAGCCACGGCUAACUACGUGCCAGCAGCCGCGGUAAUACGUAGGUGGCAAGCGUUAUCCGGAAUUAUUGGGCGUAAAGCGCGCGUAGGCGGUUUUUUAAGUCUGAUGUGAAAGCCCACGGCUCAACCGUGGAGGGUCAUUGGAAACUUGAAAACUUGAGUGCAGAAGAGGAAAGUGGAAUUCCAUGUGUAGCGGUGAAAUGCGCAGAGAUAUGGAGGAACACCAGUGGCGAAGGCGACUUUCUGGUCUGUAACUGACGCUGAUGUGCGAAAGCGUGGGGAUCAAACAGG